UAAGAGUUAGUUUAACAAAAACACUUGACUUCGGCUCAAAAAAUUUUGGUUCAAGCCCAAAACUCCUAA
rnacentral:tRNA from 1 species